GAUGAACGCUGGCGGCGUGCCUAAUACAUGCAAGUCGAGCGAACGGACGAGAAGCUUGCUUUUCUGAUGUUAGCGGCGGACGGGUGAGUAACACGUGGAUAACCUACCUAUAAGACUGGGAUAACUUCGGGAAACCGGAGCUAAUACCGGAUAAUAUUUUGAACCGCAUGGUUCAAAAGUGAAAGACGGUCUUGCUGUCACUUAUAGAUGGAUCCGCGCUGCAUUAGCUAGUUGGUAAGGUAACGGCUUACCAAGGCAACGAUGCAUAGCCGACCUGAGAGGGUGAUCGGCCACACUGGAACUGAGACACGGUCCAGACUCCUACGGGAGGCAGCAGUAGGGAAUCUUCCGCAAUGGGCGAAAGCCUGACGGAGCAACGCCGCGUGAGUGAUGAAGGUCUUCGGAUCGUAAAACUCUGUUAUUAGGGAAGAACAUAUGUGUAGGUAACUGUGCACAUCUUGACGGUACCUAAUCAGAAAGCCACGGCUAACUACGUGCCAGCAGCCGCGGUAAUACGUAGGUGGCAAGCGUUAUCCGGAAUUAUUGGGCGUAAAGCGCGCGUAGGCGGUUUUUUAAGUCUGAUGUGAAAGCCCACGGCUCAACCGUGGAGGGUCAUUGGAACCUGGAAAACUUGAGUGCAGAAGAGGAAAGUGGAAUUCCAUGUGUAGCGGUGAAAUGCGCAGAGAUGUGGAGGAACACCAGUGGCGAAGGCGACUUUCUGGUCUGUAACUGACGCUGAUGUGCGAAAGCGUGGGGAUCAAACAGGAUUAGAUACCCUGGUAGUCCACGCCGUAAACGAUGAGUGCUAAGUGUUAGGGGGUUUCCGCCCCUUAGUGCUGCAGCUAACGCAUUAAGCACUCCGCCUGGGGAGUACGACCGCAAGGUUGAAACUCAAAGGAAUUGACGGGGGCCCGCACAAGCGGUGGAGCAUGUGGUUUAAUUCGAAGCAACGCGAAGAACCUUACCAAAUCUUGACAUCCUUUGACAACUCUAGAGAUAGAGCCUUCCCCUUCGGGGGACAAAGUGACAGGUGGUGCAUGGUUGUCGUCAGCUCGUGUCGUGAGAUGUUGGGUUAAGUCCCGCAACGAGCGCAACCCUUAAGCUUAGUUGCCAUCAUUAAGUUGGGCACUCUAAGUUGACUGCCGGUGACAAACCGGAGGAAGGUGGGGAUGACGUCAAAUCAUCAUGCCCCUUAUGAUUUGGGCUACACACGUGCUACAAUGGACAAUACAAAGGGCAGCGAAACCGCGAGGUCAAGCAAAUCCCAUAAAGUUGUUCUCAGUUCGGACUGUAGUCUGCAACUCGACUACAUGAAGCUGGAAUCGCUAGUAAUCGUAGAUCAGCAUGCUACGGUGAAUACGUUCCCGGGUCU
rnacentral:rRNA from 1 species